UCAUUUGUCUUCUUUAAUAAUUACACCAUGAAAACAUAUAUAUUGGUACAACUGAUUUAUUUAUAAAACAGAAUUUAUUCAACCAAGCCCAACAUGAGAUGAGAUUAACAAACAUUGAAUACGUCUUGCUUUUUCGAUUUGUUUUUGUUUUGUUUUGUUUUGUUUUGUUUUGUCUUGUUUCCUAAUUCACAUUUGCAACCUUAGAGCUGGUAAACUCUACAACUAGUUAACAUGAAAUAGGAAAUGGAGAGUGAGCUAAAUGAUUUGAUCUCCUUACAUAAGCUUGGUUGUGAAUUCACAUUUUAGCAUUAAGUAAUACACUUUUGUGUCUAUGGGCAUAAAUAGUGAUGUCAAUCCUUAGUUUAGAUACAACUUCUAUAGAUAUAGAAGUGAUCUACUCAAAAUAAUUCCUUACAAUGAUCAAUAAAGUUUGAGCCUUUGAGAAUCAUAUCAAUUGUGAAACAAAUUGUUAUCCAAACAUGCAUUUUCUUCAACCCUAGACAUAAUAAUCCUAUUAACUAAGUUCAA
rnacentral:lncRNA from 1 species